rfam:Citrus sinensis cultivar Ridge Pineapple sweet orange scaffold00005_contig_59, whole genome shotgun sequence.
AUCUUUGCGCUUGGGGCAAUGACGCAGCUAGUGAGGUUCUAACCGAGGCGCGUCUAUUGCUGGUUGAAAACUAUUUCCAAACCCCCUCGUAGGCCUGGGUUCAGCCCUGGCCUUCGAGAAUUUCUGGAAGGGCUCCCUCCGGGGUAAAGCC